CUCACCUCGGCUGCGCGUACGCCUUGCCUACCAAAACGGUUCAGAAAAAAUACCCUACGUAACUUAAAAAAGAAAAGAAAGGGGGAAAACCUUCACGCAGAGUUGGAACAAAAGACGGCAAUUCACAAUGGACUAUGAAUUAGGGGAGCUACUCUGUUUGGGUUUCUGCACACGUUCGCGGCAGCAGGGCGAAUGGAGGGGACUAACAACGGACUUCAACAGAUUCACUCCGAGGCGGUGAGAAAAUUGGACGUGGGGCUGGAUGCUAACAGAAUUCGGACGAGCCUCGUGGCUCACAACUCUAUCUGUCUCGGGCCAGUCAAGCACAAGUAAUCGCUGUGUUUGAAAUAAAUUGCACUGGAUAGGCUGGACUCACAAAACAGAAUUUGCUUUCCUACAAAGUAACGAGUGAAAGACGUUUUAUGUUUUUUAUUUGUUUUUCCUUUCCGUCCCUGGACUUCAUACUCUAUUUGAAAUUCGCUUUUGAACUUGUGAUUGCAGAAGUUCAGUGUCAUUUUCCGCGUAUUGAAACAAACCACCCAAUGCGUAUUGAAAUGGGGACCUAUCUUUAAUUUGGAUUAUGUCGAAAGGCCCUUUACAUAAAGAAGAUGGACGUUGGGACAGUAGCCCCUUCAAGCCCCACCGAGUGUGUGUGGUUGUGCAGGACCCUUUUACCUCCACCAGGGCCCCACCCCCCCACUCUGAAAAAACAGCCAUGCCACCACAGCUGGAGAGACGUCUUGCUGCUGCUCGUACCCUUAACCCUGCUUCACGAGGAGAAAGCGGGAGUGAAGAAGAAGAGUAGGAGGGGGCGAUGAAGAGGCCUGGUUGAAGGGUGAACCGAGGAGCAGGGCAGACCCAGCCGCAGAUGGCCGGGGGGGCUUCCUCUGCAUCUCUCCUCCUCCACCUCCUCCUCCUCCUCCUCCUCCGGAAUGUUCCGCUCCUCCUGUGGGCCUGUGGGAGACGGCAGGCAGGAUCCAGGCAGGAGGCGGCAGGAGAGUGGGCAGGAGAGCUGGGCUCGCAUCCCCUCCGGAGAAAUCAAUACGGAGGAGAGGAGGCUUCUGCUCACGAGGAGGGGGUUUGCCCAGCGCCACCCCUGGCCUCAGAGCUGCAGGAGCUCCAGGGUUGCAGAUACUCCCCAGCGGCCGUUCCGGCUUGCACACGUCAGGCUGGGUCUCUGUGUGAGCCUGACACCACUGGAUAAAACUGCUGGAGAAGCUCUGUUUUUUUUUUCUCCAAUUACAUUUUUUUCUUGGACCGUUAUGAUUAUGUUUUCUCUCGGACUGCUAUGUUUUCAGCAGUGAUUUGAGACGUGUUUGAUACUCCAUUUCCUGUAGCUUUGCAUUGCUACACUGAUGCUCUCGUAGUGAGUUCGCCCAGAGCACAACCCAGAGAAAUCUUAAUAGUGAGGAAAAUUAAACCACUAUGUGCUAGCAAAGUGGCCAACUACAGUGAUCAUGGUUAGCUACAUUGCUGAGUCAGACAGCCCUUGCAAAACACAACAUGCAUAAAACAAUUUAGUUUUAUUAACGUGUGUACUUGGUUACAGUUAAGUAAAUUAAAUUAAGUUAAUUGGCUAAGCCAAGUCCAUGGAAGACAUGAAAAGGAAUUACACAUAAAGGAUAUUAAUAUUAGAGAAAUUUUACCACUGUGGAAAGUUUUUUCCUGGUGGUAUACAGCUCUAUAUACAAAUAUAUAUAGAUGGCCACUGGUAUAUAUAUUCAAAUACAUGCAUGUAUAUACAAAUCUCUCCUUGUUUCAUUUAACCACCAUCUGUAAAAAGUUCCUGCUGCUUAGGCACAUCUAAUCUCAGGCAGACACCAUCACCUGCUGUAGCCUUUCUGAUGCUAUGUUCUGGUGGGCUAAUGAGGCAACAUCUUUUAAAUAUAAAUGUAUGUAAAUAUAUAUUCACAUAAAUCCUGUUGGAAACUAGUUAUAUGUAGUCUGUAAAUGGUUGAUUUCUGUGGAGGGAGAUCCCAAAUACAGUAUAUGAGGACUCUUCAGCGGGAAGUGAAAGUUAUUGUUAUUAGGUGCUCCAAGGACAGACAGGACUUUACAGCACUUCAGGGUGGCAUGGGAGCUUCAGCUGUAUGAGAACGAGACGUGGCUAUGCUGAAGUAACUUUUCACGUGGCCGUUCACUCCUCUUUUUUCACACGAGAUUGCGGGUGGGGGUCUUUUUUUUCUUUUGCAAAACCAGAAAUGUGUUUUCGAGAAGGUGGACUUUUUUGACCGGACUGUUAAAUUCUGCAGCAAAACGGGCAAAAUGUACAAGAUGCGGUGAUCCGGUGUCAGCCUCUAAGACUUGACGUCGACAGCCUUCUCCAGAGAAGAUUCAUCCGGAAGGCACAGGGUGUGUUUUUUCGUUUACGGGCUGUGAUGGACUACAGGACAUCCCUCCAGCUCCAGCUCUUAUGAUGCUGUUCACAGGCAAGGCUGCAACGAGUAGCCUAAUGGCCAUUUCAGGCUAGACCUGGCCAGACCACACCCACCCAAGAGUGAUGUCACAGAAAAGACCCUCAGUCUCCAGAAUCAUAGUGAGGACCAGAGAUUCUGAAGGGAUGGAGAGCUGGGCCAUGAACUUUGGAAAACUGGGCUCUUCAAGGGUGUGCCCCCCAAUAAGACUGUCCCAAAAAUCUCUGCAAACACACAGGUGGAGCCCAGGAAGCUUAGACAGGAUAGCACCGUUUGUUUCCUGACACCACUGGUGGAUGCGAUGGUGUUCCACAAUAUUAUACGCAAAUAGGAGUGUUUCACAGCACAGGUGAGUGACUGUUUUGUAAAUGCAGGUAAGUAUACAGGCAAUCUUUGCUCUAAUUACUGUUCUUUUAGAUCUGCAGUGUAAUCAGCUCUCCGGGGUAAUGCAGUUGUAUGCUUCAGUGGUGAGAUCCAUGACCAGCUGAGUACAGCACGUGCAGACAUUUCAGAGAAAUGUUCCGUGUUGUUUAAGCCCAGACUGAAAUGACCCAUAGACUGAACAGACUGUGGUAAUGUAUAACCAGGAGGAUUAAAAGAGGACAAGCAGCAGGAUUGACUGCAUUAGCAUGGAAAGUGGAAUCGCUUAUUUUGGCUCGGGCAAAUUCAUGGCCAGACACUGGUCCCUAAGGGGUCCUUGCAGAGCCGUGCCAAGUGUGAGGAAGUGACGGUUGACAGCACAGGAAGUCAAAACAAUUUAAAUUUUAAAGAGAGGCUUAGAGCUAAUUUAUGUAAUAAAUGCAUUUUUUUAUU